GAACGCUGGCGGCGUGCCUAAUACAUGCAAGUCGAGCGAACAGAUGAGGAGCUUGCUCCUCUGACGUUCGCGGCGGACGGGUGAGUAACACGUGGAUAACCUACCUAUAAGACUGGGAUAACUUCGGGAAACCGGAGCUAAUACCGGAUAAUAUAUUGAACCGCAUGGUUCAAUAGUGAAAGACGGUUUUGCUGUCACUUAUAGAUGGAUCCGCGCCGCAUUAGCUAGUUGGUAAGGUAACGGCUUACCAAGGCAACGAUGCGUAGCCGACCUGAGAGGGUGAUCGGCCACACUGGAACUGAGACACGGUCCAGACUCCUACGGGAGGCAGCAGUAGGGAAUCUUCCGCAAUGGGCGAAAGCCUGACGGAGCAACGCCGCGUGAGUGAUGAAGGUCUUCGGAUCGUAAAACUCUGUUAUUAGGGAAGAACAAAUGUGUAAGUAACUAUGCACGUCUUGACGGUACCUAAUCAGAAAGCCACGGCUAACUACGUG
rnacentral:rRNA from 1 species